rnacentral:lncRNA from 13 species
AUGUAUCUAUCAUCUAUGUAUGUAUGUAUGUAUCUAUCUAUCUAUCUAUCAUGUAUCUAUCAAUCUAUCAUCUAUCAUCUAUCUAUGUAUCUAUCUAUCAUCUAUGUCUGUAUCUAUCUAUCAUGUAUCUAUCAAUCUAUCCAUCAUCUAUGUAUCCAUCAUCUAUCCAUCAUCUAUCUAUCUAUCAUCUAUGUAUCCAUCAUCUAUCUAUCCAUCUAUCAUGUAUGUAUCCAUCAUCUAUCUAUCCAUCUAUUAUCUAUGUAUUCAUCUACCCAUCUAGCUCUCUAUACCUUUGUGCAUAUGGCAUUGGAUCUCAACCAAGAGCAGGUCCCCCCCUGUUGGGGAACACUAUUCAGUGUCUGCACUCAUCUUUGGUGUCCCUAUGGGGGGGGUGCUCCUGGCACCUGGUGGGUGGAGCCCACAAAUGAUGCUCAGUACCCUCUAGCACCCAGGGUGGCCCACAGCAAAGAAGCCUCCAGCCCCAAACGUCAGCAGUGCUGAGGCUGCGAGACCUGCAUCUAAUGGGAGAAGGGGGCCUGAGGGCAGACACCACGUCCACUUACACCUUCCAAAUGCUCCAGUUCUGGCUGGGUGCGGGGGCACGGCUGGAGUAUAAAGCAGGCAGAGAAAUGUGGAACAGGGCCUGGCCUCUCCUCGCAGCCUCCACCUUUCUCCCGUGCUGGACGCUUCCUGCUCUUAAAUAUUGAACUCCAAGUUCUUCACUGUGGGGACGCGGACUGGCUCUCCUUGCCCCUCAGCCUGCAGAUGGCCUAUGGUGGGACCUUGUGACUGUGUCAGUUAGUCAUUAAGUCCUUUAUAUAUAUAUAUAUAUAUAAAUAAAACUUCCUUAUAUACAUAUCUUCCUUUUU